rnacentral:rRNA from 1 species
CCCUUAGAUGUCCUGGGCCGCACGCGCGCUACACUGAUGCAUUCAACGAGUUUUACCUUGGCCGAGAGGCCUGGGCAAUCUUUUAAACCUGCAUCGUGAUAGGGAUAGAUUAUUGCAAUUAUUAAUCUUGAACGAGGAAUUCCUAGUAAACGCAAAUCAUCAAUUUGCAUUGAUUACGCCCCUGCCCUUUGUACACACCGCCCGUCGCACCUACCGAUUGAAUGGUCCGGUGAAGCCUCGGGAUUGUGGCCAGUUCACUUUAUUGGGAGUUGGCUGUGAGAACUUGUCUAAACCUUAUCAUUUAGAGGAAGGUGAAGUCGUAACA